CUACGGGGGGCAGCAGUGGGGAAUAUUGGACAAUGGACGAAAGUCCGAUCCAGCGACACCGCGUGGGGGAUGAAGGCUUUCGGGUUGUAAACCCCUUUUCUGGAGGAAGAAUAAGGUUGGGAGGAAAUGCCCAUCCGAUGACGGUACUCCAGGAAUAAGCAUCGGCAAACUUCGUGCCAGCAGCCGCGGUAAGACGAAGGAUGCGAGCGUUAUCCGGAAUUACUGGGCGUAAAGGACGUCUAGGCGGUUGGAUAAGUCAUUUGUGAAAUCCCAGGGCUUAACCCUGGAAGGUCUUGUGAUACGGUCCGGCUUGGGUGUAGGAGAGGAGAGCGGAACUCACAGAGUAGCGGUGGAAUGCGUAGAUACUGUGAGGUACCCCGAUGGCGAAGGCAGCUCUCUGGCCUACUACCGACGCUGAAGCGUGAAAGCGUGGGGAGCAAAGGGGAUUAGAUACCCUUGUAGUC
rnacentral:rRNA from 1 species